rnacentral:rRNA from 1 species
UACGGGGGGAGCAAGCGUUGUCCGGAAUUAUUGGGCGUAAAGCGCGCGCAGGUGGUUUCUUAAGUCUGAUGUGAAAGCCCACGGCUCAACCGUGGAGGGUCAUUGGAAACUGGGGAACUUGAGUGCAGAAGAGGAAAGUGGAAUUCCAAGUGUAGCGGUGAAAUGCGUAGAGAUUUGGAGGAACACCAGUGGCGAAGGCGACUUUCUGGUCUGUAACUGACACUGAGGCGCGAAAGCGUGGGGAGCGAACAGG